GCGCCAUUAGCUCAGUUGGUAGAGCAGCUGACUCUUAAUCAGCGGGUCCGCGGUUCGAGCCCGUGAUGGCGCA
rnacentral:tRNA from 2 species